rnacentral:rRNA from 1 species
AAUGAACGCUGGCGGCGUGCCUAAUACAUGCAAGUCGAACGAGGUGCUUUUGUAGCAAUACGAGAGUAUCCUAGUGGCGAACGGGUGAGUAACGCGUUGGUGACCUACCCCAAAGUGUGGGAUAACAGUCCGAAAGGAUUGCUAAUACCGCAUGUGGUCAUUGGAUUUAGAAACUGAUGACUAAAGGAGCAAUUCGCUUUGGGAGGGACCUGCGUCCCAUCAGCUAGUUGGUGAGGUAAUGGCUUACCAAGGCGACGACGGGUAGGGGACCUGAGAGGGUGGCCCCCAACAAUGGAACUGAAACACGGUCCAUACACCUACGGGUGGCAGCAGUAGGGAAUAUUGCUCAAUGGGCGAAAGCCUGAAGCAGCAACGCCGCGUGUGUGAUGAAGGCCUUCGGGUCGUAAAGCACUUUUCUGGGAGAUGAGAAAGGACAGUAUCCCAGGAAUAAGUCUCGGCUAACUACGUGCCAGCCGCCGCCGUAAUAC